rnacentral:rRNA from 1 species
GAUCUGGUUGGGUGGUCCGCCUGACGGCGUGUUUACUGCUUGACCGGGUCUUGCCUCUUAGUGAACCGGUGUGUUCUUUAUUGAAUGCAUCGGGGAACUGGGACUUUUACCUUGAGAAAAUUAGAGUGUUCAAAGCAGGCCUAUGCCUGAAUACAUUAGCAUGGAAUAAUAAAAUAGGACGUGUGGUUCUAUUUUGUUGGUUUUUAGAACUGCCGUAAUGAUUAAUAGGGAUAGUUG